GCAGUGGAAGACGGUUGGCGACCCGGAUGGCUUUUGUUACCAGGGCCAGCCCAAUCCGCCCGAUUCUCGGUCCCUAUACUGCCUCCUUUUCCCAUGCGCAUCGCAAGGGAUCGGUUGAUGGGGCCCUCAGUAUGACUUCGCUAGGAAAAAUAAAGUGCAGCUCGUUUCUCAGAGCCGGCGGAUGUUCAUGGGCAGCACCAUCGAGCCAGAAGCAGUAUUUGUCCUGGAGGAAAUCAGUGGUGCUUCAGGAUAUUGUGAAUUUGGUCUUCUGAAAGCAGAAUUCUGAUUUAACAGUAUAAUGGAAUUCGUGAACGUCAUGAUGCUAAUUUGAACCAACAAGCACCCUUGUGAGAGGAAUCUGCUUUUCCUCAAGUCUGAAGAACACCAGGAGAAUCUUUCUGUAUGGAGUUACCAGGAAUCCUCUGCUAAGGAAAGUGAAAGGGAAGAUGCAAUUUCUCCUGGGAAGGGGGGAUGCUGAUGUAGAGGGUGACAAGUAAUAUGCCAUGAAGGAUUCAGUCACCUGGUUAGAUUUAGAGUUAGAGUUAUGGUUAAGGAAGAAGGAAGGAAAAAAGGCAGAAGAGGAAGAAAGGAAGCAAGAAAAGAUAAAAUUUAUUCUAAGAUAAAAUUUGUGAAUUUUGCUAAACUAUAUAUAUUUAUUUAUUUAUUUAUUUUAUUUAUUUAUUUAUUUUUGCUGUCAUUAGCCAAGAUAAGGAAUCUUCAAGUUGAGUAAGACUGGAUUUAGAAUUGUCUGGGGGCUUUCAAAAGAGCCAUUCAGUAAAUAAGAAAGAAUACAGGCCUGCAGCACCAGAGUCUGAGCUGGGGGCAUAGGUUUGUGUGAAUUUGGGCAUGGUGGCUCAGGUCUGUAAUCCCAGCACUUUGGGAGGCUGAAGUUGAGGACUGCUUGAGCUCAGGAGUCUGAGACCACCCUGGGCAACAUGGGGAGACCCCAUCUCUACAAAAAAAUAAAAAAUAUUAACCCAAGGUGGUGGCAUGCACCUUGCUGCCAGCUACUGUGGAGGCUGAGGUGAGAGGAUUGUUUAAGUCCAGGAUGUUGAGACUGCAGUGAGCCCUGUUUGUGGCACUGCACUCCUGCCUGGUCCACAGAGGGAGACUCUGUCUGAAGGUGGGGAAAGAAAAGAUUUGUAUGAAUUUGGUGCUGCUUUGUAUUUCAAAAUAGGAAAGUGGAUAUACGAAUAUAUGGCAUAAAAGGUCCAGAUACUGGACCCCAGUGAACUCAAUUGUUUUCAAGGUCUGACUUUAACCUUGCUAGGCUGAAGAAUCUGGAAUGGCUCAGAUGUUUCUAGUUCAGCUGUAACUUUUGCCUCCUUUAGAGUAAAGCUGUGGGGGACUUGAGUAUACUCAGAGUGGAUCUGAGAGGUAUCUGCUUCCAGAAUGAAUUAGAAUUCCUGGAUUUGAAUCAUAAUCAGAUGGCUGUUAAGGGGUUAUUGAAGACAUAUGGCUCUUAAGUUCACAAUAUUGAAUUCAGGUGAAUAUUAUAAAUAUUUGUAAGUUGGAUUAUAUUAUUGAAGCACUUGGUAAAAAUUGCCAUGCAGGGAUAAAUGUAGGAAGGGGAUUGCAGAGUCUGAUAUCUAAAAAAUAAGUGGAGCAGCAUUUGGAAACCCCGUUCACAUUUUCAAUCUCUUUUCUCUCAUUAGAACCUAACUGCUAUCCUCUAAUCCCUACUUUUGAAAAAAUGUAUUUAAGGCUGGGCGUGGUGGCUCACGCCUGUAAUCCCAGCACUUUGGAAGGCCGAAGUGGGUGGAUCACGAGGUCAGGAGAUCGAGACCAUCCUGGCUAACAUGGUGAAACCCCAUCUCUACUAAAAAUACAAAAAAUUAGCCGGGCGUUGUGGUGGGCACCUGUAGUCCUAGCUACUCGGGAGGCUGAGGCAGGAGAAUGGCGUGAACCCAGGAGGCAGAGCUUGUAGUGAGCUGAGAUCGCGCCACUGCACUCCAGCCUGGGCGACAGAGCGAGACUCCGUCUCAGAAAAAAAAAAAAAGAAAAAAUGUAUUUAAAAACUCAGCAAACAUUAAUGGAGAUAUUCCAAGAGCCAGGCUCCUGGUUCCAAGACCCCACUCAGAGGACUAAGCUCAAAUCUAAUAAGAUGUGUAGGCUUGGGGCCAGUGGGGCGAGGGGAUAUCCACAGGAGGGCCAAUCGAACAAGGCCUCAGACUCAUGAGCCUCAAAUGUAGAUGUUAGAUUUUUCCUCCAAUUGAGAUUAUACAUACAGCCACAGAGCUUCAUGGAUGCAAAUGAAAAUGGUCAUGUCUCAACUUUUAAACUGUGCUCAAUUAGAGGAACUCAUUGCCUAUGGCAUAGUGUCAUGUAAUAAAAUGGUUUUUUUGUUGUCUAAUCUUGUAGUUAGUACAGUGAUAGUACAUUGGGUUUUUGUGUUAAAAGAAGUCAUUUGUUAUCCCAGCACUUUGGGAGGCCGAGGCAGGCAGAUCACCUGAGGUCAGGAGUUCAAGACCAGCCUGACCAACAUGAUGAGACCCCAUCUCUACUGAAUUAGCCAGGCAUGGUGGCGCAUGCCUGUAAUCCCAGUUACUCGGGAGGCUCAGGCAGGAGAAUCGCUUGAAUCGGGAGGCAGCGAUUGCCGUGAGCCAAAAUUGCGCCACUGCAGUCCAGCUUGGGCAACAAGAGCAAAACUCUGUCUCAAAAAAAAAAAAAAAAAAAAAAGGCUGGGCGCGGUGGCUCACGCCUGUAAUCCCAGCACUUUGGGAGGCCGAGGCGAGCAGAUCACAAGGUCAGGAGAUCGAGACCAUCCUGGCCAACACGGUGAAACCCCAUCUCUAUUAAAAAUGCAAAAAAAUUAGCCGGGCAUGUUGGCGGGCGCCUGUAGUCCCAGCUACUUGGGAGGCUGAGGCAGGAGAAAGGUGUGAACCUGGGAGGCGGAGGUUGCAGUGAGCUGAGAUCCCGCCACUGCACCCCAGCCUGGGCAACAGAGCAAGACUCCAUCUCCCCCACCCAAAAAAACAUCUUUAAAAUUUAGCUUUUAAAACACAUUUAGUUAUUAUUUUACUGUGUUUAUUCUUCGUGGUUAGGCACAUUUAUGCCUUUUUGUUUCCUCCCUUGAGUUGUGGGCCUGGACUCCUAAAACCUCCAUUUCUAAAUUUGCCUUACCAACAGGGUCACAAUGGUAGGCAGGCUUAGUGGGACAUGAGGCAAUAAAAAGAUGAACAGUCAUUCUGGUUAUGGCUUGGCAGUGGGAUGGCAGCACAUUAGCUUGGCUCUCACGGUGUGGGCUGCUUUGGUUUCUUUUCCUAACUGAACUCUGACAGGUAGAGUCCUCAUGUCCAGGAAUAAUUCCAGAAAACAAUAAAAAAAAAAAAUUGGUUUUCAGACCAGGACACAAACAUAACCAUAGUAGAUGAGGGCUCACUCAUUUACUAAACUUGAAUGUGGUUAUUACUUCAUUGCUAUUGUAAACCAAAAAUAAAAUUUGAAGCCCCCUGCCACCAACAUCUGAAUGGACCCCUCUUCUCCGCCAAGGGCAUUCCAAAGUUAGACUGAAAAAGUAGUUUCAAGCCAUGCUGGGAAGGGGGAGUCAGACAUGCCUCAUUAUAUUCUCCUCUCUUUUAAAAUUAUUGAUAGAACAGACUCUUUAAGUCUGGUUAGAAACAUUUACAAUCUAUCUCUCUGAAGUCUUCCACCUGGAGGCUUCAUCUGCGACACCUUUGUCUCUGGAACACCUUAUGGCAACCCAGGCAUUCCUUUCUAGAGAUAAUAGUUAUUGCAACAAAUUGCCAAUCAUAAAAUUUUUGAACCUCUCCAACUUGAAAGAUCAUGCUUCCAGUUGUACUGCCUUUCUGGACUGAACCAAUGUACAACACCUUAAAUGUAUUGAUCUCAUGACUUCCUAAAAUAUAUAUAAACCAAGUUGUGCACUGACCACCUGAAGCACAUGUUCUCAGGAUCUCCUGAUGGCUGUUUCAUGGGCUAAUGGUCACUCACAUUUGGUUCACAAUAAAUCUCAUCAACUAUUUUACAGAAUUUGACCCUGUGUCUGCUGGACCUCCCAGAAGAGCAGCAGCACAUGUGCUGAUUUCUUUGGGUUUCAAAAUUGACAACAGUCAAUGGAAAACUGGAUUCCAAAUUCUACCAGAGAAUACUGUGCCAGGUGCUUUCAGUGGGACCCUUGCUGUCUCUGGGAUUUCAAGUGCUAUUACAAUGGUCUCCCCCAGGGCACAUUAAAGGACUGGUGAGAUCCCUAACUGGCAUGGCUCCAGAAGUGAUGUGGAAGUUAGGAAACUCAGGCAGUCAUUGAUUUCCCAGCCCCACUGACGCUUUUCCUCUAUCUCCUGGCUGAGAAAAGAAGACCAGGAAGAGCCGUGAGGGACUUCCAGGGUGGCAUGUGGCUGUCUCCAGCACACGUACAUAACCUGGAUUAUAUCUGUAACAAGCUAUGCUGAUGGAUCAGCAGGUUAACCCAAGCUGAAAAAAGCAGUCAAGCACUUCCUUUGGUGUGUGAGGCAGAAACCAGGACAUCUGCUGGUCCACCAGGGGACAAAAAUCAAUCCUAUUUCACCAAUGUGUCUCCUCCGUGUGGGGAGUAUAGGGCAUUGAAGGUGGAUGAGAAUCACCAUCCACCUUCUGCUGCACAGGAAAGACAAGGGAAGACUCCAGGGAAGACAGAGGAGGAAAACGUCGAGCAGCCCCAGGUGGAUGUGUCUGUGUGUGUGUGUGUGUGUGUGUGUGUGUGUGUGUGUGUACCUUGACAGUGGGUAGAGGAAGGGAGAGGAGGGUUGAGGUCUUCCCACUAGAGGAGUGAAAUGAGCAGAACUGAGAAAAGAGGUCAGAGAAAAGAAAGAGGAACCUACAAGCCACCACAGAAUUUUCUUUCCCCAGAGAAUGGUCUCUUGCCCGACUAGGGGCUGGGUAUCCUUGUGAAGUCACCGGAGGUUUUCAAGGGGUGGGCUUCCUGGCUUCAGUAGACUCAAGGUCCCUAAGGUCCAGUUAGGAUAGGCGCCUGGGAGGGCUCCCGAGUUGGAAUAAGAGUCGGAAGAACUGACAGGGCUGGGGGCGCACUAAGCACACUCUACUCCUGAGAGGUGAGGGUGGGGAUGUUGGAGGGAAAAAGGGCUGCUUUUUCCUGCCUGCAGGCUUCAGAUUCACAGGGGAUGUGAGGAGAGGGCGGAGGAGGAGGAAGCAGCGGCUGUUUAUGCUGGGAAGAUGGCUCAGUUGAGAAGUGAGGCAGAUGUGGCCUCAGAGGGUCUGGCGGAUGGCUGCCGGGAUCACCGGGGGCUGGACUUUGAGAUGUCCAGGACGAAGUGUUGCCCUUUCAGUGCUGCCCUCCCUGUGUCUGCUGGAACUGUUGGAGCCGCAGUGCAGCCUAAUUUUGACUUCAGGUAAAAUAAUUCAAUAUACUGAGGCCCAGGGGGAACAAAGCAAGGUCUACUCCAUAUCUCUGAACAGCUGGUGUCUUUCAGUGCCUAAACUCAAUCAGAAUCCUGGGAGCAAAAGUAGCUCUCCAGUGCAGUCCAUGCAGGUUACUUCUUGCAACAUAGAGGUGACUGAAGCAUGGUAAGCAGAUCUAGAAAGGCAAACAUCUCUAGCAGAUCUAGAGAGGCUAGCCAAUGUUAGCUAGCAGUGUCUUUAUGUUGAUAAACCUAUUCAGAAUGUUAACUUUGUUUGUUGGUUUGUUUGUCCAUUUUUGUCUCCCAGGCUGGAGUGCAGUGGUGCGAUCUCGGCUCACUGCAACCUCCAGUAAUUCUCCCGCCUCAGUCUUUCCAGCAGCUGGGAUUACAGGCUCCCCAUCGCCACACCCAGAAUUUUUUGUAGAGACGGGGUUUCGCCAUGUUGCCCGGGCUGCUCUCAAACUCCCGAUUUCUUAGUCUGACCAAGUCAGGGUUUAGCUAUUUCUUAGCGUAGCAAGUUGAGAUUUAUUCCAGUUUCGAUUUCUAGUUGUAACAAUGCUGGCUUUAACCGUGCCUACGUAGUCGUUGCAAGUUCCUGUUUUGUAAUAGGAACCCCCAUUAUAGCCGUUCGUACGGUUUUUAAGUCUUGUAGAAAUCUGGGUACUGGAGAAUGUAAUUAAAAAAAAAAUUUAGCAGUGCCUGAAAUCUUUUAGUCAUACCAAGUGUGAUUUCACAAUAGAGAUUCUCGCCCUGGCUGUGCUUGUGAUUUUUCACUCAUGCAGAAGUUGAGGUGUCUAGGCUACAGGAACUUUUUGGUGUCGCAAAUACCGGUUUAGCCAUGGCUGUUUCUUCUUAAUCCGAGGAAUUUUCGAAUAGGCGCAAGAGGCACAGGUUUAGUGCUAAUACAAAUAUAGCCGUAGGAUCGCAUCGUUCAACACUGCAAUUUCUUUGUAGGGUUAUUUGUAUGUUUUGUAUACUCAAAAAAAUUUUUUUUGAUGUGUCUUUUUCUGGGAGCGAGGUUACUGGUGUAUUUUAUUUUCAUUUCUGUUUGCUUUAAAAAUUUAUUUUAUUUUUUAUGUAAAUGUUAUGUAUUUUAUUUUUUCUUACCCACUGCCUUCCCCAGGAGAGUAAAUGUGGCAUAAUUUCUUCUACUGAUUUUGAGUAUCAUGUCUCAGCUUCCUACUAACUAGCUUUCUCCCGUGAGUCGGGGAGCAGAGCUGGUGCCUGGUCUCUAGGGUUCUCUUCCGCGGCUCUGUGCCUAUGUCGAGCCAGCAGUUUCGCAUCAGCACUUUCGCCAAUAGCGGAGACUCAGUGUUUUCUCGGCUGCUGCACCGCUGGAAGCGCUGAACACAACAGAACGUUUCGGCGGGGCGCUGUGGCUCACGCCUGUAAUCCUAGCACUUAGGGAGGCUGAGGCGGGUGGAUCACUCGAGGUCAGAAGUUCGAGACCAGCCUGGCCAGCGGGUGAAACCCCGUCUGUACUAAAAAUACAAUAAUUAGCUGGCCGUGGUGGCGCGUGCCUGCAAUCCCAGUUACUCGGGAGGCUGAGGCAGUAUGCUUGAACCCAGGUGGCGGAGGUUGCAAUGAGACGAGAUUGCGCCACUGAACUCCAGCCUGGGUGACAGAGCGAGGCUCCUUCUCAAAAACAAAACAACCCAGAACGUUUCUUGUUCACAAGACUCAGAAGUGCUUUGUGGUAACGCUUCCCCUCUCCUAGCGCCGCCACUUUCCCCGGGCUGGCUGUCUCACGGUCUCAGCCCAGUGAUUGGCCGAGGAGGCGCUCUUUCAGCACUUUCGCUGGAAGGGCUUGGGCUCGGUUUUUCUGCCACAGGCGUUUCAUUGGGUAGGUGCUUUCUCGGUGGAAGCACUGUACAACCUUCCAAGCCUCGAUAUUUCUCAGAGACGACGAUUUCUUAGUGGCAAUACCUUAACUGCACCAAAAACUAAAGUUUGCCGCUGGGUACUCCGCUAGUCGUUCAGUGUCCGCAUUUGCUAUUGAUGCAGGAUUUUUGCUUCUAAGCUCAGCUAUAUCCGGGUCCUUGUCUCACGAUCAGGAGGAAGUGGGCACGCGGAUAUCGAAGAGUGAGUGGAGUAGAAUUUAUUAAGCGUAAACGAAAGCUCUCAUAAAAAACAAGGGUCCUGAAAGCAGGUUGCCGGUUGCUCCUUAACGGCUGAAUACAAAGGCUUUUAUAUGAAAGCUAAGGAGGCUGGGUUCCCUGUUUGUAUAAGGCGAGAAUCCCGGGUGGCUCCAUCCCAUUCCCCCAGUGCGCAUGCGCGCUCUUAAUCCGCAGCAGGCAUGCUUAGGCAAGUCCCUUGUGCAAGUUCCCUUAUCUGCACAAAACACCAGUCGGAGGUUCUCUGGGGACCCUUCCCUUACAGUCUCCCUAAAGCUGGCUAACUCCUUUCACUAUGUCCCAGUAUCCCUGGUUCCUCGGACUGGCACUUUCUGAGUCAUAGCACCGCUCAUUCGUCCGAGCAGAAUUGAUCUCGGUGGCAGCACCUCUGGUGGGUCAAGCCUGCAGCUUCUCCUGAGCAGUUUCGUUAGUUUUUGGGUCCUAGAACCGCUAGUGGUACCAUAGCGGCUCUUCAUGGGUUGCAGGACGUUUGCCAACUCCACCCCACGCUGCCUGCCUAGGUUCGGCUACGGGGCAAAAAGAACAGACUCCUGCAAAGGAAGAACCCCGAGGGUUGGAUAUUUAGGAAAGACGUCCUUUGCAGUGCCACGUCCGCGGAUGCUGCACUUGGCUUUCUCCUCCCUCCUGGGGAAGAAUUGAUGUUUACUUCUCCCCACUCUCCGGGCCGCAUUAUCCAGGGAUUUCGGGGACUAGAUUACCUGAGAUUUUAGCGCUUCUACUGGAUCAUCCUUUUGGAAAUAAUUAUCACUUACAAUAAUGUCUAUCCGGGCCGGGUGCGGUGGCUCACACCUGUAAUCCCAGCACUUUGGAAGGCCGAGGAGGGUGGAUCACGAGGUCAGGAGAUCGAGACCACCCUGGCCAACAUGGUGAAACCUCGUCUCUACUAACAGUACAAAAAUUAGCCGGGCGUGGUGGCGCGCGCCUGUAGUCCGAGCUACUUGGGAGGUUAAGGCAGGAGAAUAGCUUGAACCGGGAGGACUGCAGUGAGCCGAGAUCCUGCCACUGCACUCCAGCCUGGCAACAGAGCAAGACUCCGUCUCAAUAAUAAUAAUAAUAAUAAUGUCUAUCCAUGUUCUUUAAAAAAGUUUGCCUUCACUAUUCUUUAUCAACGUUUGGUUGUCUUUCUCAAUAAAAUAAUAGAGAAACAUCAAAUGCCUUUUGUUUCUUUUGUUUUGUUUGGUUGUUGUUGUUUUAGGAUCAAGACCAAGUCAGAGGUCUGUUGCUGGGUAAGGAGUGCAGCAAAUCCAGGCGACCCAGGUUUCCCUGCCAGUCCUGGCAACAGCAACCAGACACCCCACCCCUGAGCCUCAUCCUUACUCAACGUCAUCAGCAGGAACUCAGGUAACAGGAAUUUCACAUUUGUGUACAAUUUUAUUGAGAAGAGGAAGGAAAAAAGGCAUAAAGUGAUCUGAAGGCGAAACUUCUUCCAUCGCAUUUGAGAGAACUCAGGUAUUAUUGUAACUUUAUUUAUUUAUUUAUUUAUUUACAAGAGGAUCAUCCAAUGGAAGGUCUCAGAGGAAGUUUCAGGGCCCAGGAUUCCAAAGGCGGGCCGUGGACACAGUCUCAGGGCGUCUGUCCCCAAGCGCAUGCCAUCUGCAGCCAGCAGUCUUGGAACUUUGGUUGGUGGCACCAGGGGACAGCAGUAGGCUGACACUCUCAAAGGUCUUCUCGGAUGGAAGUCUCCGGCUCCAGUCGUCUGUCCACUAAGCGAGAGGCGAGUUGCGAGGGAGGCUGCGGGGGCGGGCGGGCGUAUGUUGAGACCCUAUGCAGCCUCCUGCUCUCCCGAGGGCUCCUGCGGCUCCUCCUGAAUUGCCUGCGCCGGAUCCAGAGCAGGCGACUCUGCGCCCCGCCUCCAGGUACUCUGAGGCUUGGGAAAGAGAUCUUUUCGCCGGCAGUUUCAGCAAGGAAGCACGCAGGGAGCGGAAAGUAUGUGGCAGUGGAAAUCUAGGUCGGCCCAGGAGAGCUCGCAGUGGGUUUUUGCUGCAGCUCAGGUGGGAAUGCAGUGUCAUGCUCUUGGCAACCUGGACCUCCCAGGCUCAAGGGAUCCUCUCCGUCAGCCUCCAGAGUAGCUGGUGAUCCUCCCCCCUCAGCCUACAGAGUAGCUGGGAAUACAAGUAUGUGCCACCAUACCUGGCUAAUUUUUCUUGUAUUUUUUGUAAAGAUGGGUUUUCACCAUGCUGCUAGCUUGGUGGUUGCCUCAGCCUCCUGAGUGGCUGGGACUACAGACAGCUGGGACUGCAGGCAGGAAUCACCACAUCCAGCUAAUAAUUUUUUUUUUUUUUGGUAGAAAUUGUGUUUCACUGUGUUAUCUGGUUUGGUCUUGGACUUCUGGCCUUAAGUGAUCCUCCUCCCUCAGCCUCUCAAAGUGCUUGGAUUACAGAUGUUAGCCACCAUGCCUAGCCCAUAAUAAAGUUGUUCUAGUCUUAGAUUCUUCUCUCAUGAUGGUAAUUCCACCUUCAGUUUUUGGGGUUUUUUUUUUUCGUUUUUUUUUCUUUUUUUUACAACAUCUUGCUCUGUUUCCCAGGCAGAAGUGCAGGGGCAGGAUCCCAGCUCACUGCAAACUCUGCCCCCUGGGUUUAAAUGAUUCUACCACCUUAGCCUUCCGAGUAUCUGAGAUUACAGUUUCAUGCCACCAUGUCUGGCUAAUGUUUGUAGUUUUAGUAGAGAGGGGGUUUUACUAUGUUGGCCAGGCUGGUCUCAAACUCGUGGCCUCAAGUGAUCCUCCUGCCUCAGCCUUCCAAAGUGCUAGGAUUACAGAUGUGGGCCACUGCACCUGGCCCAGAUUUUUUUUUUCGCUUUGUUCAUUGCAUUAUUCAUAUCGAAGUGGAAAAUCGCGGAUAAUUCUAGUCUUACUAUACUACCUAAUAUAGCAUCCUACUAUACACUUAUGUUAAGUUUCUUGAUAGCAUUUAUCACGGCCGAGCGCAGUGGCUCAUGCCUGUAAUCCUAGCACUUUGGGAGGCCGAGGUGGGUGGAUCACCUGAGGUAAGGAGUUCAAGACCAGCCUAGCCAACACGGCUAAACCCUGUCUCUACUAAAAAUACAAAAAUUAACCAGGCAUGUUGAGCGCCUGUAGUUCCAGCUACUCGGAAGGCUGGGGCGGGAGGAUUGCUUGAACCCAGGUGGCAGAGGUUGUAGUGAGCCGAGAUCAUGCCACUGCACUCCAGCAGUGGAAACAGAGUGAGACUGUCUUAAAAACAAACAAACAAAACAACAACAACAGCAACAAAAAGCAUUUAUUAUAUAAAUACUGUCUUAUUUAUUUAUUUGUUUUCCUGUUUACUGUCUUUUUUCAACUCAUGAAGGUGUCAAACACUUUGUGGCCAAGUCCAUGUCUACUUGUUGAUCACUUAUUUCUGGGACCUUGAUCCCUUUGUAGUACAAUAUAGAUGCUUAGCAUUUGUUAAUGAAGAAACAAUAAAUGUAUUAAAAGACUGGGUGUGGUGGCUCAUUCCAGAAAUCCCAGCACAUUGGGAGGCUGAGAUGAGAGGAUUGCUUGAGCCCAGGAGUUUGAGCCGAGUCUGGGUAACAUAGGGAGACUCUACCUCUACAAAAAAUUUAAAAAUUAGCUGGGUGCCUGGUGUGCCUCUGUAGUCUCAGCUACUUGGGAGGCUGAGGUAGGAGGAUUGCUUGAGCCUAGGAGAUUGAGGGUAAAUUGAACAGUGAUCAUGCCACCACACUGCAGCCUGGGUGACAGAAUGAGACCCUAUCUCAAAAAAAAAAAAGAAACAAAAAACAGUAGUCUCAGAGGUCUAUAGCUGAUUAUAAUCCUAUAAAAGGAUCAAAGUAAAACAAUAAUUGUUGAUGGCAAAAGUAUUAGAAUAGCAAGGGUUAAAGAUGCAAUGGACAAGGAAAUUUGGUUAUAGCUAUGGCGUACAACAAUUUAAUAUAAUGAUCAUAAUUAGUUCUGAUAACAUACACUAACAUUUCAGAAUCACAGGAAUCUCAUACGAUUUUGUAAUACAUACUAAUAAGACAUUCAUAUAAAUACAAUCUAAAGAAAGUUAAAUAUCAUUUCAUAUUUGAUAAUGCAUCUUAUGUGAUCUUAUUAUGCCAAAUAAGCCAAAUAUAUCUCUUUGGAUUUCAGGGGACUUAAUGUCAAAAAAAUUAAUGAGGUAAAAAAGACCGAAUUUAGAAUUGGAUUUUAGAAAGUUUGUCAAAUACUUAAAACAAGGUCAAUGUUUAAAACACUUGAUAUCACAAAAUAGAAUCACAGGUCAUUGUAAAAUAAGUCAGUCAUUUAGUCAAAGUGGUAACUCAAAUAUUUCAAAAACAAAAAGGCAAAACCUUUUACUCUUUGAGACUUACUUUCCCAAAAAAUAAGACCUAAUGAAGAUAGAAUGAAGCCAAUUAAAUCUAUUUCUCAAAUCUUAUAGACAAGUGUAUUAAAUUUUAAUCAUCUUGACCAGAAGCAAUAAUUUUAUAAACCUUUCAUAACGUUUUAUAAUGUUUAAAAAAAGAAUGGGUUAAUACCUCAAGAAAACAUUGCUAAUCUGACACAGGGGCCCACAGGCUGGUCUUGCAUCAGUGUUCCUUUUAUAUUAAUCUUUAUAGGCUGGCCAUUGUGGCUCACAUCUGUAAUCUCAGUACUUUGAGAGGCAUAGGUGGGUGGAUUCCUUGAUCUCAGGAGUUUGAGACUAGCCUUGGCAAUGUGAUGAAACACUGUCUCUACAAAAAAUACAAAAAUUAGCCAGGCAUGGUGGUACACACCUGCAGUCCCAGCUACUCAGGAGGCUGAGGUGGCAGGAUCGCUUGUGUCUGGGAGAUGGAGGUUGCAGUGAGCCAGGAUCAUGCCACUGCAUUCCAACCCAGGUGACAGAGCUAGUUCCUGUCAAAACAAAACAAAACAAAACAAAACAAAACAAAACCACUGUUUAUAGAGAAAUACUGAACUAACUUUCUCUCUUAAAGUAGGUCCUUACAAGUCCAAACACCCACUUCUUCUGCAAUAGUCCCUGGGACUAGGGGGUUGAAUAGUUUAAUUUUCUGGACACAGGUCUUGUGAAUGCAGCUUCUUCUGAUUUUCAUCUUCUCUUAGGUCUGAAGAUGAGGCUUCAGUUGCUGUUAAUGUUUAAGAUUUAGUAGGAGUUGGUGACCUUUUUCGACCCAGGAGUGAAAGCCCUGUAACUUGGUAACACAAAAACGUUAAAAGAAUUACAGAAAGUUAUGUAGAUAUAAUAACCUUUUUUAAUCUCAGUUUUUCUAAGCAAAUAAAAACCUAGUAAUAAUUACACAGGAAUUAUUUUGAUAAAAUGUACAGUAUGUUUUUACCUUUUUCCUAAAUAACCUUUGAAUUAGAUAAAACUAUUUUCCUUUUAAUAAUAACACUUUUUCUUUGGAAAAAUGUUUGCCUACAGUACUUUUGUAAAGUUGAGAAUGACCCAGACAUUUAAUGACUACCUAUUAUUUCAUAAAAUAUAACUCUAAGAUUUUUUUUUUUUGACGGAGUCUCAGUCUGCCUAGGCUGGAGGACGGUGGCACGAUCUGAGCUCACUGCAACCUCUGCCUCCGAGUUCAAGAGAUUCUCCUGCCUCAGCCUCCUGAGUAGCUGGGAUUGCAGGCAUGCAUCAUCACCGGCUAAUUUUUGUAUUUUUAGUAGAGAUGGGGUUUCACCACUUGGGCCAGGCUGGUCUCCAACUCCUGACCUCAAGUGAUCUGCCCAUGCUGGCCUCCCAAAGUGGUGGCUCACACAGUAAUAUCACAGUCUUCUGAAUUCAAAAUAGGCCGAGGCUGGAGCUCAGGCACCACCUCUGCGGAAUCUCAAGCAGGCUUCACAUAGCCAAGAAAAUGUUGCUCCAUCGCUUAAUUAAGCCUCAGAGCAGGAGGACAUAAGCGUUUGCGCUGAUUGACGAGAUGAAGCAGAACCUUUAGCACUACCAUCAGCCUGGGUAUUUAUGCUCUCCGGAGCUCGUGGGCAGAGGGCACCCAGAUAUUAUGAAACUCAAUAGUAACGAAUGCACGAAAAUUAGUAGACAAAUGAAAACCGGUAAAAUUCUAGAGAGCACAUAGAAACAAAACAAAUCGUAAUUCCGACAGAAAAACAGCGAGAAAAGAAGUCGAAAUGAAACGGAUACUAAGCAAACCUUACAGAGAACGAGCGCUACAAAACGCAGGGAUUAAAGAGUUCUUCAGGGGCCAAAAACCAUCUGUGUCCGGGAAAUGAGCAUUGCUGCCACCGGAAAACUGUCCGCUAGGUCUCUGCACUGCUCUGGACCUCGCUAGCAAGAAUCUGGCGGCGCUGAGACUCAGCAAGCGCCGGCACCUAGCGGAUAGCGCUGGUAUUGCCAAACAAAUAUCCGUUUAGGCGCCAUAACGGUGCUGCUAGAAAGAAACUGCGGAUUCUUAGGAGGGGUGCUUCCAUCCCGAAACAUACUGUCUGGAGGAAUGGACCGACUCUGUUUAAAUGAAAAGAGCCGGCUAACGGUAUUACGGAAGUACUAGUUGGCACAGAGGCUCGGUGCAAUUACCGUUCUGCACCGUAAAACGGGUUUAGGAAGUUCCUAGGAGAUACUAGCGGUGCCAGAACCGAGAAAGUGACGACACAGACAACUUAUGGACUCCGCGUACGGGAAACGUUCCGUUGGGCGCUAAGAACGGUGCAGCAACUGAAAAACCGCUCAGUGGGCGCUACUGGCAAAAGCGUUGCUGCAAAACCGCCAGCUCCGCAUUAGAAGCAGAGCCGCCAGACAGAACCCGGGACCUGAAACCACCGAAGCGGAGACCGAGCUUGGCUCCCCAGCUCCUGAGAGAAUGCAAGUCAAGGAGUACGAAGCUGUGAUACUCAAAAUUAGUAGAAGAAAAAUGAAUAACAUUUAAAUAAGAUAAAAUUUUAAAAUAAUAAAUUCUAAAAUUCAAAUAAAAAGGCAAAGCAAACACACUGGAAACUACCGGUAGCAUUGUUCUCAGAGCAAAAGACACAAAAAGAGCAUUUAAAAAUAAGCAAAAAUUAGAGAGAACCAACCCUACAAAGCAGAAAUUACAAGUAUUGCCAAAAGAAGCAAUUCUGUGAUUAGGAUAUCCCUGUUAGAUCUAAACCGGUACAUGUUACACCUAAGUCUACAUUUCUUAGGACAAAAACAAAAACAAACAACAACAACAACAAGAAACCAACAAAACCCAGUCAUGGUUAAACCUGUUUACGACUAAAAAAUCGUAGUAGCUGAUAUAUCCCGACUUGGUCCACAAGAGGAAAAAGUCGCGUUCGGCGGAAAUUGCUAUCGUCAAACCGAGCUUCGUAAACCAGAAAUCGCUUUUGCCGGCAUUUCCUGACUUCCAUGGGAGUUUAAAAAACACCAACAUAGCUAAGGCGGGACUUGAUGUUGCGCAGCUAGCCUUGGUGUAAGAGCUCCCAGGCACUGCUAAACUGGUCAUCGCUAAACCUAAAUGAAUCGCAUUCGCUGGUACACAGAUUUCUACAGGAGUUGAACAUCUCCUGCGCAGCUAAAGCAAGCCGUACUAGUAGGAAGCCGGAACUUGCCACGACUUAGAAACUUGAGGCUUUGGGAGGCCAAGGCGGGUGGAUCAUCUGAGGUCGGGAGUUUGAGACCAGUCUGGCUAAUGUGGCAAAACCCCGUCUCUACUAAAAAUACAAAAAUUAGCCGGGUGUGGUGGCGGGCGCCUAUAAUCCCAGCUAUUUGGGAGGCUGAGGCAGGAGAAUCACUUGAACCCGGGAGGUGGAGGUUGCAGUGAGCCGAGAUCGCCGAGAUGGCGCCACUGCAUUCUAGCCUGGACGAAAGAAACUCUGUCUCAAAAAAAAAAAAAAAAAAAAAAAAAAAAAGAAAAAGAAAAAAGAAACUUGAGGCAGGGCUAACUCUGCGUUUGUUAUGAUUAGGCUACAGGAAACCCGGAGUUGCUGGGAAAUGAGUCACAGGGUCACUCAGCCUUUCUGUGGCGAAACAUCGACUUCCUACGACCUAGAAAUCGCCGCCAGGGCUAGGCUGGUGUUUGUCCUAAGUGGGUACUUGCUUGGGUUGAGAAAUCACAUUUUGGCUAUUCCCCGACUUGAACCAGGGGAUAGAAAUCGUAGUCACCGGCUGGGCGCAGCGGCUCAUGCUGUAAUCCUGGCAGUUUGGGAGGCCGAGGCGGGCAGAUUAUUGAGGUUAGGAGUUCGAGACCAGCCUGGUCAAUAUGAUGAAACACCGCCUCUAGUAAAAAUACAAAAAUUAUCCGGGCGUGGUGGCGAGCGCCUGUAAUCCCAGCUACUCAGGAGGCUGAGGCAGUAGAAUCCCUUGAACCUGGGGUGCGGAGGUUGCAGUGAGCCAAGAUCGCGCCACUGCACUCCAGGCUGGGCGACACGGCGAGACUCUGUCUCAAAACAAAACAAAAGGAAAAGAAGAGAAAAGAAAAAGAAACGCAGGCACCCUGAAAUCGAAACUUGUUAGGACCAACAAGCCAACGACAGACGAAUCUGCGGGGUCCUGCGACAGACACGCCAGCCCCGCCGCCACAGCACAGGGUUCUGGAGGUCGAGCUGUUCUGCGGGUUCUGCGGCGGCGCUGGGAAGAGACGGCGCCCGGGCAGCUCCCCUGUCACCGGCUUGGAGGAGCGGCGGGCUCCCCUAGCCCAGCGCCGCCGCCGCCGCCCGGGAACGCCAGGCUCACCCCAGCUGGGGAAGCUCCGAAUCCCUCAGAUCGGCGACCUGAGUGCUGUCGCCCCGAGAAAAUGGAGGCAUCGAGCAACGAGCUGUGCUGAGACCGAGAGACCUCAGUUCUGCGAAAUGUCGGUGCCUGGAGCUUGCGAAUGACUGCGGCCGGCGGGUUGUCAAGGACAACAUUCCUUAUGGCGCAACCAACAGCGCUGUCACCAAGAAACUGGACUCUGAGAAAAAAGAGGGUUUCGGCCACCGAGAAACUCCGUGCCACAUGUGCCGUGACAGCAAAACCGCCCGCUCCGCGCCGCUGGUGAAAGAGCUAACGAACGCCAGGUGCUGCGACAGUGACACCGGGACUAGAAGGCCUCGGAUGGAGAAUGGGACGCCCAGAGCAAGCAGGAAAACGUUUUGUUUGGCUCAACUAGCGCUGUCGCAACCGGAAAACUGUCAGGCCAGUGCUGCUGCGGAUGUGAGAAACCGGUGAUCCGAAGGCGGAGUGGCGCUGGGCGCUGGACUCGCUGGUGUGAAAAUCUGGCUGCUCUAGGACCCGGCAAGCGCGGGCACCAGGCGAACGCCAGCGACUUUGCCAGACAAAUGCAUGUCUUUUUUGGUCGCCAUUCAAAGAUGCAGCCGGCAGUCAGCCCCGGCUCUGAGAAACAAGUGGAGGUGUCAGCCAUAAACCCUCCGUUCAGGGAAAAGAGAGUCGCUGCGACGGAUCGACUGGCCGUUGGGUGGAACUUUCUUUGGUGGCCUAGUGACUAGAAAAUAAAAACGAAAACGAAAUAAAAAACUGCUACUGACAUUACUCCCACGCUCCCUCCUCAAGUCAGUGGCUUCAGGCUUAAGAAAACCUGUAUUUUUCUUGGCUGAUCCGUGAUCCCUAAUUACUGAGGGCCCCGCGACCCACCAAGUGCGAUUCGCAGAGGGAAAGGAGCUGGAAUAAGGAUCCAGAAUGGGACGGAUUUGGCUCCUCCAGGAAGAAAGCAAAACAAAUGCAGGUCGCGAACACUUUACAUUGCAGGAAGCUGCUCUUCCAGUGGCCGCGGCUGGGUCCUUCCACACCACCUCUCUGUCCUAGGCCUUCGUCCCGGUUCAGCCCUCACGGAUUCUAGGCUAGCGGUCAACAACCGCAUCCCUCCGGAACCUGGAAACUCUAGGUCCGAGAUCUCGGUGAAGAAUGAAAGGCACAGCGCCGCUCAACCCAGGCUUCAGGCCUGCCCCGCUGGUCCCGUCCCUUCCCUGUGGGAUGGAACUCUGUGGGAAUCGCUCCUUAUUCUGAUGGUUCACUCAUUCAGAUGUCCUUGAUAUUUGGGGAUAUUUCUAAAACAGCUGGGGAGAAAAAUGGACUGCGAGGCUCCGGUGUUGGACGUGAAAUUGGCAGUGAGACAUCCGCCUCUAAGCCCAGGGAAAAGCUUAAAUUGUGGUUCUCUGUCUCUAGCACCGUGAUCUUUGAAAUGCGUUAUUGAUUUUCUUCUUUCUUCUGGGAAAUGCAAUGCAGGUGAACUUGUAAGUGUUGAAUCCUCCCUCUCCUCACUGUUCAAUCAGACUGAGGCCUACUUCCUUUCUGAUAAGAAAUAUGGAACUGCCAUUGCUCAGUAGGAAAAUGUCCUUUCUACAAGCAUUCAUAUUUCAAUAAAAAUCUGCACUUUGUGAGUUGAGCCCCCUCAAAGAGACCUACAGACCCUGCCAUGAGCAUCUCCAUCCACACUCAUCAUUUCCCAUUUUCACCACUUCUGCUCCUGUGCAAACCAGUACUAUCCUUUUCUGGGGGAUCCUAGGCAGAAGCGAUGGCAGGACAAAGGCAGAGAAGGCACUGCCAGGUCCUGCAUGCCAGUAAAACUACUCAUGUCAGCUGUUCUGCAGGAUCCCAUGAGAAGCCUCUCACCCUCCACAAUCCCCUUAAAAACUGUAGCCCAGAACUCUCUGGAAUGAUGAAUUUGAAGGUUUGCUCCUGUCUCCUCACUCAGAAGCCUGUAAUCAUUAAACUCUUUCUCUGAUGCAAACUCUGCUGUCUCAGUGUAAUUGGUAUGUAAGUGUGCAGCAGGCAUAUGAAUCUGUUGGUCCUGUAACAGUUGGGAUGCAGUGGCACAAUUGUAGCUCACUGUAAUCUCUACCUCCUACACCUAAGGGAACCUUACCACCUCAGCACUCGGAAUAGCUAGGACUUUAGGUCUGUGUGCUACCACCCAUGGCUAAUUUAUAAAAUAAUUUCUUUGUAGAGACAGGAUCUUUCUAUAUAGCCUGGGCUGGUCUCAAACUCCUGGCCUCAAGGUAUCCUCCCCACUCUGCAUCACAAAGAGCUGUCAUUACAUGUGUGAGAUACCAUACCCUGCCCAUGGUAGAAUAUUAACACAUGGGUGUGAAAUGUUGGCUUCAGUCUGGCAUGUUAUUACUUUAUUAACAGUAAAGAAUAAUAUCUGAUCAUGAAAUUGUUUUUUUUUGUAAAUAGAAUAUUUUCUAUUUACAUUGAUGCUUUUGUAAAUAGAAUAUUUGACUCUGAUGAAGACAUAUUAUAAUUUCACUAUGGAUAUGACCUGAAAUGGAAAAAAUUGACUUACAGAAAAAAUACACCAAAGAAGUCACCAUUUUAUAUUUGUUCUUAUUACAAUUAUCUUUCAAGCCAUAAAAAACAAAAAUUAGUGAUUUUAUUACCAACUGAGAAGAUUAUUUUCUGCCAAGCAAUCUCUAAACAUUAACUUUUACUAGGAAUGUAUUCAUGAAAGGGACUUUGUAAAAUAGGAGCAAAUUUGACCUCUUAUUUAAUCAUUCAGAGAUGAAAUAAAAUAUAAUACAUUAUUUGAAAAGAUAUCCAGGAAGCAGGAAGUACAGUCAGGGAUCCCAGGAAUGGGUGUGGUGAUGUCUGUUGCACCAGGGCUUAGAGGGCAGGAUCUUUCCUCUAGAAACUCUGUGUGUCAGGCAUGCCUAGACAAAAUACACUUAUAUUUGAUGUUUUAGCAUAUCAAAGAGGUAUUGCUUGGUUUAAAGAUGAGGCUCAGUGAGUUUACACCACAGUCCAAGAUCACAAAGGUAGUUCAUGCUGGAGCUGGAUUGAAGUCCCAGGUUAUCAGGCAUUCAUAUCAAGUAGGGAAAUGAGUAAAGAAAUAAUUAGGUUGGGUUUUGAAAAAGAAGAAUCCUAUGCCUUACAUAAAAUUGUACCUUAAAAAUUUUUUUGGCUGGGCGUGGUGGCUCUUGCCUGUAAUCCCAGCACUUUGGGAGGCCGAGGCAGGCGGAUUACAAGGUCAGGAGAUCGAGACCAUCCUGGCUAACACGGUGAAACCCCGUCUCUACUAAAAAUACAAAAAAUUAUCCGGUGCGGUGGUGGGCGCCUGUAGUCCCAGCUACUCCGGAGGCUGAGGCAGGAGAAUGGCGUGAACCCGGGAGGCGGAGUUUGCAGCGAGCGGAGAUCGCGCCAUUGCACUCCAGCCUGGGCGACAGACCGAGACUCCAUCUCAAAAAACAUAAAAAUAAAAAAAAGGGCAAAUAUGUUGAGCUAAUAUGAUGCUUUUUACAGUAUUUUUUUUCAAGACCCUUAUAUGUUAUGUGAUUAUAUGCAUUUUUUUAAGUUAUUCUCCUUCCUCUGUUAUUCCUACUUCCACUGCAAUUCCUCUCAUCAGUAACUACCAGUUUUAACAUUACAUUAUCCAAAAAAGAGGUGGAUGGAGUCUCGGCUGCAUAUGCUAAUGUUGCACCUUGGACGAGUGAUGUAAUGCCUUUUGCCAUUUUGCAUUUCCAAAUAUAUUCUCAAAUGUAUUCCUAACAGUGGUGUUUGCUACACAAUGAAAUAAUAGAAAUAAAAUAUAAUACAUUAUUUGAAAAGAUAUCCAGGAAUUAUUUUAACAUUUUUCCUUUAAAUUAAUUUCUGAAUGGAAAUGACAGUCAUGAAACCAUUCCUAUAAACUUUAUAAAGUUAAUCAGGGAAAAUGGGAGAAGGAGAAUAAAAAAUAUAUCAAGACUGCAGUACAUUCAGCAUUAAUGAUUAGGUCACCUUGCUCUCUGGCCUUCUUGCUCAUAGUUCUUUGGUGCUUAUUGCCCCAAACUAUGAGAAUAAUUAUGCAGAAUAAUUAUACCCUGUCAGAAUUAUGCAGACCCAAUCACAAGAUUAUAGUUUCCCUUAACUGCUCUGUAGAGAACACCUUUAACAUUGUAAAAUGUCAAGGUUUUCAUUUGAUAUAUUCUCUUAUGUCCUGAAGACUGAUAAAACUAUUGAUGCCAGCUAGUCUGAAAGACCCCAUGAGGAGCUGGCUCACCGAAGAAUGCAGUUUCUAUAUUUUGAUGAUUUCAUCCCCUUUACCCCAAACAAUCAAUGACCCCAAUUUUUCAGUUUCUUGCUCUCCACAAUCUCCUUAAAAACUCCAGAGCUGGGCGGGGCACGGUGGCUCACUCCUGUAAUCCCAGGACUUUGGGAGGCUGAGGUGGGCAGAUCACCAGGUCAGGAGUACGAGACCACUGAAACCCCAUCUCUACUAAAAAUACAAAAAUUAGUCGGGUGUGGUGGUGCACACAUGUAAUCCUAGCUAUUCAGGAGGCUGAAGCAGGAGAAGGCUAAGGCAGGAGAAUCGCCUGAACCCGGGAGGCAGAGGUUGCAGUGGGCUGAGAUCACACCACUGCACUCCAGCCUGGGUGAUGGAGCAAGAUUCUGUUAAAAACAAAACAAAACAAAACAAAAACAAACACCUCCAGACCAGAAUUUCUCAGGGAGGUGGAUUUGAGGGUCCCUCCUGUUUCCUCACCUGGCUGCCCUGCUAUCAUUACAUUCUUUUUCUGCUGUAAGCCCUGCUGUUUCAGUGUUUUGGUAUAUAUUUAUGUUACUGCACAGCAGAUAUCCAAACCUGUUGGUCCUGUAACGAUCAGGCACAUCUUUUGUAUUGGUUUGUCUUGUGUUUUUUUUUUUUUUUUUUUUUUUCCAG
rnacentral:lncRNA from 1 species